UACGUAGGGUGCAAGCGUUGUCCGGAAUUAUUGGGCGUAAAGAGCUCGUAGGCGGUUCGUCGCGUCGGCUGUGAAAUCCCGAGGCUCAACCUCGGGUCUGCAGUCGAUACGGGCAUCACUGGAGUUCGGCAGGGGAGACUGGAAUUCCUGGUGUAGCGGUGAAAUGCGCAGAUAUCAGGAGGAACACCGGUGGCGAAGGCGGGUCUCUGGGCCGAUACUGACGCUGAGGAGCGAAAGCGUGGGGAGCGAACAGG
rnacentral:rRNA from 1 species